GGGUGUAGCUCAAUUGGCAGAGCACCGGUCUCCAAAACCGGGCGCUGGGGGUUCGAGUCCCUCCACCC
rnacentral:tRNA from 1 species